GAGGUUUCUUAAAAUAAACCCUGCAAUAAAAUCAUUUGCCUAAUUUUUAGUUGGCAGGCCUUUAUUUCCCCUUUCCCUCUCAUUUCUUUUUCCCAGCCCACGUUCCCUCUCAUUCUACUAAACUCUACAGAUCUAACCAAACCCUAACUCCCUCUCUUUUUCAAUCAAAGUUUCGGGGUUCUCAGAAUUCCUACUCAUCUCAAGUCAGCCAAUGGUUGGUUCUGAUUCAGAUAUGGAGUAUGGAUUCGUGUGCUCAGACGAGGUGCCCGAUGAACAUGACUUUGAUGUUGAGAACCGAUACUACAACUCCAGAGAUACUUAUGGAUAUAUGUUCAUGGCAGAUCCUUAGGACAUGUGCUCGUAAGAAUGUUGUCGUGAUUGAAUCAAGGUCAACGUUUGCAUAUAUGGUUUUUAUAUCUUGUAUCUUAAUGGACAACCACUUUUUAAGAGCAACUUAACGUUUGCAGAAGAUUCACCUGAAAUCAAGGAAGGUUGUGGACAAGCUAGAAUAAAGGUAUUGAGAAAUUGAGAAGUCGUUGGGAGAAAAGAUGAUGUUAGAUAUCCUAGUUGCUAAAUGGAGGUCAAUCAAAGCAAUUCCAUCAGCAAAUCUAUAGCAAAUCUAUCAAAUGAGUCGGGAAAUUUUCUUUCGCUUCCAAAACAAGUGAAAAGAACUCACAAGAAAGGAGAUCGAUGCAACAGUGAUUUGAUCAUGUUGUACUUUUUUAGACAAUCAUAUUUUUAUUGUAGGAUAUUAUCAUCCACUAACAAGCAUAACAUUUUAAUAGCGAAUGUAUAAAUGAGUCAUCAAAGAAGACUUGGAUUUUCACAAGCUAUUUGUUUACUAGCUUCUUGAUAAAAAGGACCUUCUGGCUACUUAAUAUGUGUUAUUGCCUAAUCACAGUUGUUUGUUAUACAAGUGGGUGCCUUGUUUCUA